GCCUGGUUAGCACAGUGGUAAUGCGUUGCACUUGUAUCUACCCUCAGAUGACAUGCAAAGAUCACUGGUUCGAUUCCAGUACUAGGCA